UUCAUUCUCCUUGUUAUUCCGGACCUAGCGCCUGUGAAAGUGCUUGGAAUUUCUUGUUUUCUAAUACUCUCUACAUAAACUAUCUCUAUUUGCUCCUUAUGUCUACCUUGUGAAGCUGCUUUCUCUUUUCUUGCUAUGAAGCCCUUCUUUCUAUACAGCGGGGACCUGAUUUUGCCCUUCACCUAGGAUGGAUAUCAUCUGGCCCCGUGGACUUACACACGUUCAGUUUCAUGAGGAGGACUCGGACUUGUUCCACCGUUACAGUGGGACAGAAACCACUCCCACACCCUAACCUAGAGGCUCGUGGUCCUGGCAGACACGGGAAGCCUGACCACCCGUGAAGACUGAGGCAAAGCACUCAUUGAGUACCUCAGCUUUUUCUGUGUCUGAGGAAGCCAGCUCCCCAUUGCCUUUCGUCAGAGCGGGAAUACUCUCCUGGGCCUGUCUCCUCCUGCCUAUGUGCCUGUAGAACCCCUUCUUGUUAUCUUUCACAUCCCUUGCCAAGUUCAGCUCCACCAGCGCCUUGGCUUUCCUAAUCCUAUCUCUACACACACGGACAAUAGCCCUCUAUUCCUCCCAGGACACACUACCCUGCUUCCACCUGCUACACAUUUCCCCCUUUUUCUCUCAGUUUUAGCUGCAGGUCCUUGCACAGCCACGACAGUCGCCUGCCUCCCCUGCUCGACUUCUUCUUUUGGAAGAUGGAGAGCAGUUGUGCUCUCAGAAAGGUGUCCUUCCAGAGCUGCCAGCUCUGUUCUGCACCCAUGCCCAUAAGGACAGCUUCCUCGGGGAUCUCACUCAGCAGUUCCUUGAGCAGCAGGAAGUUUGCUCUCCUAAAGCACAUGGUCCUAGCUCUGUUUUUUGCCAGGCCCGCAUUCUUCAAGAUCACAAACUCCACCAAGGCAUGGUCACUGCAGCCCAGGCUGCCUCCAAUCUUAACGUCUCUAAUGCUUUUCUCUUCAUUAGUGAGAACCAGGUCCAGUAAGGCUUCACCUCAGAUGGGUCCAUCUAUUACCUGGACCAGGAAGUUGUCCUCGACAGAUUCCAGGAAUCUCCUGGAUUGUCUGCCACCCACCACGCCACUAUCCCAGCAGAUAUCCAGGUGCUUGAAAUCCCCCAUCAGGACAAGAGCCUGCAAGCUCGACACCUCCUGCAGCUGAAGCAAGAAGGCCUCAUCCACAGCCUCCUCCUGAUCAGGUGGCCUGCAGCAGACCCCAGCCACUAGGUGCCCUUUGCUGGACCGAUCCUUGAUUUUUACCCACAAACUCUCCACUUGAUCGUGGCUGUUCCUCAGACACAGCUCUUCACAAUUUAUCCACUUCCUAACAUAGAGGGCAACUCCCCCACCCCUCCUAGCCUGUCUAUCCCUUCUGAAAAGCCUGUAGUCCUCAAUCAGGGUAUUCCAAUUGUGGGAUUCAUCCCACCAUGUUUCUGUGAUAGCAAUUAGGUCACACUUGCCAAAUUGCGCCACGGUUUCUAGCUCCUCCCAUUUAUUUCCCAUGCUGCGCGCAUUGGUAUAGAGGCAGUUCAGCUUGGCUAUUGGCCUCGUUGCCUUAUCAGACGAGACCUCCCUAAUACCUGCAGGACAAGUCUGGGGUUUUCCCUUACCACCUCCCAGGGUGACAGCGUUCCCAUGCGCUUCUCUGUCAUCCAGUACACCCCUUCCCCCAUCAUAUCUAUCGUAAAGCCCUGCUAACCAGCCCAGCCAACUUGUUCCCAAGAAUAUUUGUGGCCCUUCUAGUCAGUCGGCUCCCAUCCACCGUCAGCAUUCCUCCUUUCUCAAGACUGUGUCCCAAGCCAUAGUACCCACAGCCCUGAGCACGACACCAUUCGCUAAGCCGAUCAUUCAGUGUGUCCACCCUCUUCCUUUUGCGUGGGUCCCAGUCACCAACUGAGAGGACAGAGGAAAACACAACUUGUGCUCCCGAUC
rnacentral:lncRNA from 1 species